AGUGAAACUGCUGGGCCAUAUGGUGAUUCUGUUUUAUUUUUUGAGGAAUUGCCAAAUUGUUUUCCACAGCAGCUGCACCAUCUUACAUUCUCACCAGCAGU
rnacentral:pre_miRNA from 1 species